AUACUUAUCUGGCAGGGGAGAUAGUAUGAUCAUCAACAUGGUUUUCUCAGGGUGAGGCUCAUCCAUUGCACUCUGAGUGUACUGACCCCUACAAUUUCUUCAAAUAUGGGGACUCCACUGCAUAAUCUGUGGUACUGGGGGUUGCAUUUGUGCUUUACCCUA
rnacentral:snRNA from 1 species